rfam:Myotis brandtii contig317458, whole genome shotgun sequence.
GUGCUCAAGCACUCGGAGCCGGUGUCCUGGGCUCCAUGGCACACACCAGUCAUCACGAUGGCUGUUGUUCAGUGGGGCCUGAAUUCAUGACUUCUCUCCUUCUUGCUGUUCACAGUUUACCUCCAGGGACCCUGAGGUUUUGAGGU